GACAGAGGAAUACCCAGCAGGGGCAUGCGAGAUCUUAAGUCCCCAGACCAGUUCCCCAACUGGUCCCACACCACGCCCCUAGCAGUGGAAGUGCUGGGAGCGUGGAGUCUUCACCACUGGACCACCAGGGAAGUCCAACAAACACCUGAACCUACUCCAGGAAAAGCGCAGUGCUAAUACUGAAUCAUCAGGAUCCUAAAAGGAGCUUGACUGAAUGACAGGGCACCUUCUCUGUAAGACAAGAGAAAGGUCACAAAAUAGAUCAACAAGCUGUGGUUCGUAUCUUAAAACUGGAGAAGAGGGAAGACAGCGUUAA